AUUUACGACUGUCUUGAUGCGCUAAUGACGUACGAGUAGAAGAUGAAUCAGCAUGUCCUUCAUUGUGAUGAUGAUGGUGUUCUCCAGACUUUGAAGACUUACGACUGCUUGUCGAUGUUUCAUGCCUUUCAGCUUUAGAUUUCGACCUUGAAACUGAAGUACGUGCUGGAGCAGCAGAAGCCAUAGAAGAAGAAGUUGGAGAAGGUGAGGCAUUCGAGUGUGGCGACGGAACCGAAGAUCUUGGUGUCGAAACUGAAGGGGCUUCAGAAGAAGGUGCAGGUACUGGAGGAGCCUUUGCAGUAGGAACUGGUACUGGUGGAAGCCCAGCGGAAGGUGUCGGCACCGGUGGAGCUGUAGAUGGUGGGGGGACUGGAGGAACACCCACAGAAGGCUUUGGUACCGGUGGAGCUUCACUUGGUGGAGGCACCGGUGGGACACCCGCAGCAGGCUUUGGUACUGGUGGAAUUCCAGAAGAAGGUGCUGGCACUGGUGGAGCUGCAACUGAAGGCUUUGGAACUGGUGGAGCUCCUGAAGGCGCUGGCACUGGUGGAGCUGCAACUGAAGGCUUUGGAACUGGUGGAGCUCCCGAAGGUACUGGCACUGGUGGAGCUGCAACUGAAGGCUUUGGAACUGGUGGAGCUCCUGAAGGCGCUGGCACCGGUGGAACUGCAACUGAAGGCUUUGGUACCGGUGGGGCUGCGACCGAAGGCUUUGGCACUGGUGGAAUUCCAGAAGGUGCUGGCACCGGUGGAGCUCCAGACGGAGCUGGAAUUGAUGGAAUUUCAGAUGAAGGUGCUGGUACUGGUGGUGGUGCUGAUGGAGCUCCAGAAGAAGAUUUCGGUACUGGUGGAGUACUAGUGGGUAUGGGUACAGGAGGGGCAGUAGAAGGUACUGGGAUUGGUGGAGCAUCAGCUGAAGGCAAUGGCACCGGAGGUGCUUUAGACGAAAGUUUAGGAACUGGAGGUACCCUGGCUAGCGGAGCAGCAGGUGAAGUUGAUACUGGUUUCGACAAAGGCGCCGAGGGUGGAUGAUCCUUUGGAGGUUCAGAAGUCGGCGAAGAUAGUAUAUUGCUUACUGGUAAAGGUGGAGGAAUAGAGGGAGGAGCAGCAGGCCUUGGUCCAGAAGCUUUGCGUCC